rnacentral:rRNA from 1 species
UACGGAGGUCAGCGUAUCGAUCAUGGUUAAGGUGCGCAGGCGGUAAGUAAGUCAGUGGUGAAUCCCUUCGCUCAACGAAGGAACUGCCAUUGAUACUGCUAUACUUGAAUAUAGUUGAAGUAGGCGGAAUGUGUAGUGUAGCGGUGAAAUGCUUAGAUAUUACACAGAACACCGAUAGCGAAGGCAGCUUACUAAACUAAUAUUGACGCUCAUGCACGAAAGCU